CUGGCGUGCUCAGUGCGUCCGAGUUGUAAUCUAUAGAGGCGUUUUCCGUGCCGGACUGUGUCCAAGUCCCUUGGAACAGGGUAUCAAAGAGGGUGAUAAUCCCGUACUUGACACAAUGACCGGUGCUCUGUGAUACGUCUUCUACGAGUCGAGUUGUUUGGGAAUGCAGCUCAAAAUGGGUGGUGAGUUCCAUCUAAAGCUAAAUAUUGGCGAGAGACCGAUAGCGAACAAGUACCGUGAGGGAAAGAUGAAAAGCACUUUGGAAAGAGAGUUAAACAGUACGUGAAAUUGUUGAAAGGGAAACGAUUGAAUCAGUCGUGACUGAGAGGCUCAGCCGGUCUGCCGGUGUAUUCCCCUCAGUCGGUCAACAUCAGUUUUGUUCGGUGGAUAAGGGAUUGGAAGUGGCACCCUCGGUGUGUUAUAGCAGCUGUCGAUACAUCGGAUGAGAUGAGGAUGCACUCGUCUUUAUGGCGGGGUUCGCCACGUCGAGCUUAGAUG
rnacentral:rRNA from 1 species